rnacentral:rRNA from 1 species
GGUUAAGCGACUAAGCGUACACGGUGGAUGCCCUGGCAGUCAGAGGCGAUGAAGGACGUGCUAAUCUGCGAAAAGCGUCGGUAAGGUGAUAUGAACCGUUAUAACCGGCGAUGUCCGAAUGGGGAAACCCAGUGUGAUUCGUCACACUAUCGUUAACUGAAUACAUAGGUUAACGAGGCGAACCGGGGGAACUGAAACAUCUAAGUACCCCGAGGAAAAGAAAUCAACCGAGAUUCCCCCAGUAGCGGCGAGCGAACGGGGAGCAGCCCAGAGUCUGAAUCAGCUUGUGUGUUAGUGGAACGGUCUGGAAAGUCCGACGGUACAGGGUGAUAGUCCCGUACACCAAAAUGCACAGGCUGUGAACUCGAAGAGUAGGGCGGGACACGUGGUAUCCUGUCUGAAUAUGGGGGGACCAUCCUCCAAGGCUAAAUACUCCUGACUGACCGAUAGUGAACCAGUACCGUGAGGGAAAGGCGAAAAGAACCCCGGCGAGGGGAGUGAAAAAGAACCUGAAACCGUGUACGUACAAGCAGUGGGAGCACCUUCGGGUGUGACUGCGUACCUUUUGUAUAAUGGGUCAGCGACUUAUAUUCUGUAGCAAGGUUAACCGUAUAGGGGAGCCGCAGGGAAACCGAGUCUUAACUGGGCGUUAAGUUGCAGGGUAUAGACCCGAAACCCGGUGAUCUAGCCAUGGGCAGGUUGAAGGUUGGGUAACACUAACUGGAGGACCGAACCGACUAAUGUUGAAAAAUUAGCGGAUGACUUGUGGCUGGGGGUGAAAGGCCAAUCAAACCGGGAGAUAGCUGGUUCUCCCCGAAAGCUAUUUAGGUAGCGCCUCGUGAAUUCAUCUUCGGGGGUAGAGCACUGUUUCGGCUAGGGGGUCAUCCCGACUUACCAACCCGAUGCAAACUACGAAUACCGAAGAAUGUUAUCACGGGAGACACACGGCGGGUGCUAACGUCCGUCGUGAAGAGGGAAACAACCCAGACCGCCAGCUAAGGUCCCAAAGUCAUGGUUAAGUGGGAAACGAUGUGGGAAGGCACAGACAGCCAGGAUGUUGGCUUAGAAGCAGCCAUCAUUUAAAGAAAGCGUAAUAGCUCACUGGUCGAGUCGGCCUGCGCGGAAGAUGUAACGGGGCUAAACCAUGCACCGAAGCUGCGGCAGCGACACUAUGUGUUGUUGGGUAGGGGAGCGUUCUGUAAGCCUGCGAAGGUGUGCUGUGAGGCAUGCUGGAGGUAUCAGAAGUGCGAAUGCUGACAUAAGUAACGAUAAAGCGGGUGAAAAGCCCGCUCGCCGGAAGACCAAGGGUUCCUGUCCAACGUUAAUCGGGGCAGGGUGAGUCGACCCCUAAGGCGAGGCCGAAAGGCGUAGUCGAUGGGAAACAGGUUAAUAUUCCUGUACUUGGUGUUACUGCGAAGGGGGGACGGAGAAGGCUAUGUUAGCCGGGCGACGGUUGUCCCGGUUUAAGCAUGUAGGCUGGUUAUCCAGGCAAAUCCGGAUAAUCAAGGCUGAGGUGUGAUGACGAGGCACUACGGUGCUGAAGUAACAAAUGCCCUGCUUCCAGGAAAAGCCUCUAAGCAUCAGGUAACAUCAAAUCGUACCCCAAACCGACACAGGUGGUCAGGUAGAGAAUACCAAGGCGCUUGAGAGAACUCGGGUGAAGGAACUAGGCAAAAUGGUGCCGUAACUUCGGGAGAAGGCACGCUGGUGUGUAGGUGAAGUCCCUGCGGAUGGAGCUGAGACCAGUCGAAGAUACCAGCUGGCUGCAACUGUUUAUUAAAAACACAGCACUGUGCAAACACGAAAGUGGACGUAUACGGUGUGACGCCUGCCCGGUGCCGGAAGGUUAAUUGAUGGGGUUAUCCGUAAGGAGAAGCUCUUGAUCGAAGCCCCGGUAAACGGCGGCCGUAACUAUAACGGUCCUAAGGUAGCGAAAUUCCUUGUCGGGUAAGUUCCGACCUGCACGAAUGGCGUAAUGAUGGCCAGGCUGUCUCCACCCGAGACUCAGUGAAAUUGAACUCGCUGUGAAGAUGCAGUGUACCCGCGGCAAGACGGAAAGACCCCGUGAACCUUUACUAUAGCUUGACACUGAACAUUGAGCCUUGAUGUGUAGGAUAGGUGGGAGGCUUUGAAGCGUGGACGCCAGUCUGCGUGGAGCCAACCUUGAAAUACCACCCUUUAAUGUUUGAUGUUCUAACGUUGGCCCCUUACCGGGGUUGCGGACAGUGUCUGGUGGGUAGUUUGACUGGGGCGGUCUCCUCCCAAAGCGUAACGGAGGAGCACGAAGGUUAGCUAAUCCUGGUCGGACAUCAGGAGGUUAGUGCAAUGGCAUAAGCUAGCUUGACUGCGAGCGUGACGGCGCGAGCAGGUGCGAAAGCAGGUCAUAGUGAUCCGGUGGUUCUGAAUGGAAGGGCCAUCGCUCAACGGAUAAAAGGUACUCCGGGGAUAACAGGCUGAUACCGCCCAAGAGUUCAUAUCGACGGCGGUGUUUGGCACCUCGAUGUCGGCUCAUCACAUCCUGGGGCUGAAGUAGGUCCCAAGGGUAUGGCUGUUCGCCAUUUAAAGUGGUACGCGAGCUGGGUUUAGAACGUCGUGAGACAGUUCGGUCCCUAUCUGCCGUGGGCGCUGGAGAAUUGAGGGGGGCUGCUCCUAGUACGAGAGGACCGGAGUGGACGCAUCACUGGUGUUCGGGUUGUCAUGCCAAUGGCACUGCCCGGUAGCUAAAUGCGGAAGAGAUAAGUGCUGAAAGCAUCUAAGCACGAAACUUGCCCCGAGAUGAGUUCUCCCUGAGACUUUAAGUCUCCUGAAGGAACGUUAAAGACGAUGACGUUGAUAGGCCGGGUGUGUAAGCGCAGCGAUGCGUUGAGCUAACCGGUACUAAUGAACCGUGAGGCUUAACCUU